rnacentral:rRNA from 1 species
GAUGAACGCUGGCGGCGUGCCUAAUACAUGCAAGUCGAACGAAACUUCUUUAUCACCGAGUGCUUGCACUCACCGAUAAAGAGUUGAGUGGCGAACGGGUGAGUAACACGUGGGCAACCUGCCCAAAAGAGGGGGAUAACACUUGGAAACAGGUGCUAAUACCGCAUAACCAUAGUUACCGCAUGGUAACUAUGUAAAAGGUGGCUAUACUACCGCUUUUGGAUGGGCCCGCGGCGCAUUAGCUAGUUGGUAGGGUAAAGGCUUACCAAGGCAAUGAUGCGUAGCCGAAUUGAGAGGUUGAUCGGCCACAUUGGGACUGAGACACGGCCCAAACGCCUACGGGAGGCAGCAGUAGGGAAUCUUCCACAAUGGGCGAAAGCCUGAUGGAGCAACGCCGCGUGGGUGAAGAAGGUCUUCGGAUCGUAAAACCCUGUUGUUAGAGAAGAAAGUGCGUGAGAGUAACUGUUCACGUUUCGACGGUAUCUAACCAGAAAGCCACUGCUAACUACGUG